rnacentral:lncRNA from 1 species
GGGAACAUCGUAAUACGGUGGGAGGAGUCAUUUGGUGGGUUUUGAGUGAAAUCCAAUCUCUACAACUAUGCAAUACACCAGCCACUCCAUUUCCUAACGAACUUCGUACGAACCUGAGUUGUCCAAUUUCUUGGACCAAUCUAUAUCGGAUUGAGUCCAAAACUUGGGGAUCAUCAUAAUACGGUGGGAGGAGUCAUUUGGUGGCUUUUCAGUGAAAUCCAAUCUCUACAUCUAUGCAAUACACCUACCACUCCAUUUCAUAACGAACUUCAUACGAACCUGAAUUGUCCAAUUUCAUGGACCAAUCGAUAUCAGAUUGAGUCCAAAACAUGGGGAGCAUCAUAAUAUGAUGGGACGAGUCAUUU